AUGCGAGUCGAGAGUCUUAGGGACUCGGCAUACCGCUCAGUAACACGUGGAUAACCUGCCCUGUGCUGGGGGAUAACCUCGCGAAAGUGAGAACAAUACCCCAUAGGUCACUACGCCUGGAACGGUGAGUGGCUGAAAGGACCACCUUAGGGUGGUUCCGGCACAGGAUGGGUCUGCGGCGUAUCAGGUAGUAGGGGGUGUAACGUACCUCCUAGCCUUCGACGCGUACGGGUUGUGAGAGCAAUUGCCCGGAGAUGGAUUCUGAGACACGAAUCCAGGCCCUACGGGGCGCAGCAGGCGCGAAAACUUGACAAUGCGAGAAAUCGUGAUCAGGGGACUCCAGUUGGCUGGAUUAAUAUCCAGUCUGAACCGACUUUAAAUCGGUCGGGUAAUAGGGGCGGGAAAGACCGGUGCCAGCCGCCGCGGUAAUACCGGCGCCCCAAGUGGUCGUCACUAUUAUUGGGCCUAAAACGUCCGUAGCCGGUUUGGUAAAUCCGUGGGUAAAUCAGACAGCCUAACUGUCUGAAUUCUGCGGGGACUGCCAGACUUGAGACCGGGAGAGGUACGGGGUACCUGCGGGGUAGCGGUAAAAUGCGAUCAUCCCGUAGGGACCACCUGUUGCGAAGGCGCCGUACUAGAACGGAUCUGACGGUCAGGGACGAAGCCUAGGGGCACGAACCGGAUUAGAUACCCGGGUAGUCCUAGGUGUAAACGCUGUGGACUUGGUGUCGGGGACUUUCAGAGAGUUUCCGGUGCCGGAGUGAAGAUGUUAAGUCC
rnacentral:rRNA from 1 species